rnacentral:ncRNA from 1 species
AUAAUGAUACUUGCGUCCCGUCCCAAGUCGAGCGAGAAAAGACCGUCACAACUAAGGAGGGCGUCCGCGGGAGAUCCCGGCGGUGGUGAGAUUCCAAUGA